UGGCUCUGCUCGGACAACUGCAGUGUCUGACAAGCUGUAAAUCUUGCGUGACUGUCAAAGUGAGGACUUGUCAGCUUGUCACUGAAGAGCAGUUGGAGAGGCAGCAGAUGUCUACAGCCUUGAUGUGGAGCCUGAGUGGCGUUGCUGUGGAAGAUGACGAAGAGAAGAGCACAGAUCCUGGCUGAGGAGGAAGAGGCAUGGUCGUGUCAAGAAGCCUGCUCAUUGGAGUAAAAGUCUGCCAAGCAGUUGGUCAACAAGAGAUGGGCUGCAGGAGCUCCUGCAGGAACCAGCCAGGUCCAAGGACGGCCAGAAGAGGCUGAAUCUCAUUCCCUGAAAGCAAGAAGAUGCUCUCCUGACUUCCAGAUGCUCUCCGUGGAUUUGCCUACUUGUGCUCCCCUCCUUGGAGCUGGAAAUCACUCAGAUGUUGCCAGCAUCAAUUGUCUUCUUGCAGCGUGCCCUAAUGUCUGAGGCUGAACAACUCCAAAUCCCUCAACCUGACUGAAUUAGGACUCUGUGCCAGGAACUGCGUGGACAGCUGUGGAACCAUAAUCUCACCCAAGACCUGAAGGAGCCACCAUAGAAUGGCAAGGUAAAGGACAAUAGGAGUGGCCAGAGGAGUGAGUGGUUUCACUGUCCCUCCUCAGAACAAUGGAGAAGUGGAAUCCCAUGUCUGUGGAGUGUGAUACUCAGCACAUUGGCUUGGCAGUGCUGGACAUCAGUGUGCUGCAAAGAGAGGAGGGAAGCAGAGCAGUGUUGACCUCUGUUUGUCUCUGGGCUCAGGUCACUCACUGGCCAGGGGCUCACAGGAGCCUGAGCAUCACAUGUAGACUUUGGAUACAGGAACCCUCAGGCACAGGGCUGCAAACUCCAGGUGUUUAGUCUUUGAUUAAAGCCCAUAAAGACAGGACUGUUGCCUUGCCCUGUACGGUAGCAAUGCAAUAAAUCAAGAUAAAAUCAGCCAAGUGUUAAAC